rnacentral:rRNA from 1 species
AUUGAACGCUGGCGGCAGGCCUAACACAUGCAAGUCGAACGAGUGGCGGACGGGUGAGUAAUGUCUGGGAAACUGCCUGAUGGAGGGGGAUAACUACUGGAAACGGUAGCUAAUACCGCAUACCAUCAGAUGUGCCCAGAUGGGAUUAGCUAGUUGGUGGGGUAACGGCUCACCAAGGCGACGAUCCCUAGCUGGGCUGAGAGGAUGACCAGCCAAACUGGGACCGAGAAAAGGUCCCGAACCCUACGGGGGGCAAGAGUAGGGAAAAUUGCAAAAUGGGCGCAAGCCUUAUGCAGCCAGGCCGCGGGUAUGAAGAAGGCCUUCGGGUUGGAAAGUACUUUCAGCGGGGAGGAGUUACCCGCAGAAGAAGCACCGGCUAACUCCGUGCCAGCAGCCGCGGUAAUUC